GUUCAAUGCGAAUGUCCGAUUUCACAGAGUUAUUUUUAACAGAGGGUGCCAUAUAAUGAUAAGGACACAACUUAAAUUCAAUAAUUGGUCUCAGUUAUCAAGGUUUUACAAGCUCACGAUUUUUUGAAAGUAGUGUUAAAGGAUUAAAAAAAAUAAUUAUAGGACGAUCCGUUCUUCA
ensembl:ncRNA F40E10.13 ncRNA